UUUAAUGCAAUUUUUGUUUCGUUGAAUGCGAACAUAGAAAUGCUGUGGAUAAUAGAGCAUCUAUUAAGUGCAAAAAUAAUAUAUACAACUAUUAAGAGUGUUCACAACCAUAAACAUCUUAAGAGUGUUCUGUUACCCUGUACAACUGUUCUAUUAUGCCAUAAAAGUAUUCUAAAUGAUAAAACACUGUUCACAACCAUAAACCUAUUUAGAGCGUUCUAUUACCCUUUACCACUGUUCUAUUAUGACAUCAAAGUAUUCUAAAUUCUAAAAUAGUGUUCACAACCAUAAACCUAUUAAGAGUGUUCUAUUAACCUUUACAACUGUUCUAUUAUAACAUCAAAGUGUUCAUAAUCCUGCCAGCUGAUAAGAGUGUUCUAUUAUGCCGUAGGAAUGUUAUAUUAUGCCAUAAGAGGGUACGAUUGCAAUUCAUAAAUGCUCGAAAGUAUAAAAAAGUAACAUUCUAAACCCUAAACCCUAAUAGAACAUUCCUAUCACAUGGAUUGUGAACAAUUCUAUCAGCUGGCCUAAUAGAACAUUCUAAACCACAAGCUUGCAUAAUAGAGUUCAUAAUGAAUGGAUUAUGAACACUACUAUCAACUGGCAUAAUAGAACAUUCUAAACCCUAAACCCUAAUCCUAAUCAUAAAUUAUUUAUUUUUAAAAAUACAACAUCAAAUAUAAUAUACCAGCAAAUAUACCACCAGUGUCCUAAAAUAAAAUUAAUCAGCUACUCGGUGAUGAAAUCUGGAGCACGCAAAGACAAAAAGCAGCUGCAACCCUAAACGCUCAAAAUAUAGAUUUUAUAUUAAAUUCAAAAUAUAAAAUAAAAUAUUAUAGAACUUCAAAAAAUCUCUUGUU
rnacentral:lncRNA from 1 species